GACGAACGCUGGCGGCGUGCUUAACACAUGCAAGUCGAACGGAAAGGCCCUGCUUUUGUGGGGUGCUCGAGUGGCGAACGGGUGAGUAACACGUGAGUAACCUGCCCUUGACUUUGGGAUAACUUCAGGAAACUGGGGCUAAUACCGGAUAGGAGCUCCUGCUGCAUGGUGGGGGUUGGAAAGUUUCGGCGGUUGGGGAUGGACUCGCGGCUCAUCAGCUUGUUGGUGGGGUAGUGGCUUACCAAGGCUUUGACGGGUAGCCGGCCUGAGAGGGUGACCGGCCACAGUGGGACUGAGACACGGCCCAGACUCCUACGGGAGGGAGCAGUGGCGAAUAGUGCACAAUGGGCGGAAGCCUGAUGCAGCAACGCCGCGUGCGGGAUAACGGCCUUCGGGUUGUAAACGGCUUUCGCCUGUGACGGAGCGUGAGUGACGGUAAUGGGUAAAGAAGCACCGGCUAACUACGUG
rnacentral:rRNA from 1 species